UACGGAGGAUCCAAGCGUUAUCCGGAUUUAUUGGGUUUAAAGGGUGCGUAGGCGGCCUGUUAAGUCAGGGGUGAAAGACGGUAGCUUAACUAUCGCAGUGCCCUUGAUACUGAUGGGCUUGAAUGUACUAGAGGUAGGCGGAAUGUGACAAGUAGCGGUGAAAAUGCAUAGAUAUGUCACAGAACACCAAUUGCGAAGGCAGCUUACUAUGGUAUGAUUGACGCUGAGGCACGAAAGCGUGGGGGAUCAAAACAGG
rnacentral:rRNA from 1 species